rnacentral:rRNA from 1 species
UACGUAGGGUGCAGGCGUUAAUCGGAAUUACUGGGCGUAAAGCGUGCGCAGGCGGUCUGCUAAGAGAGGUGUGAAAUCCCCAGGCUCAACCUGGGAACUGCAUUUGAAACUCCCUUUCUUGAGUAUCGGAGAGGAAAGCGGAAUUCCUGGCGUAGAGGUAAAAUUUGUUGAUUUCAGGAGGAAUAACCUAAAGCGAAAGCAGCUCUCUAGUAUACUACUGACAUUGAGGCACGAAAGCGUGGGUAGCGAAAAGG